rnacentral:rRNA from 1 species
UACGUAGGGGGCUAGCGUUGUCCGGAAUCAUUGGGCGUAAAGCGCGUGUAGGCGGUCCGGUAAGUCCGCUGUGAAAGUCGGGGGCUCAACCCUCGAAUGCCGGUGGAUACUGUCGGGCUAGAGUGCGGAAGAGGCGAGUGGAAUUCCUGGUGUAGCGGUGAAAUGCGCAGAUAUCAGGAGGAACACCGGUGGCGAAGGCGGAUCUCUGGGCCUUACCUGACGCUGAGGAGCGAAAGCAUGGGGAGCAAACAGG